GACAGAGGGUGCAAACGUUGUUCGGAAUUACUGGGCGUAAAGCGAGUGUAGGCGGUCUGCUAAGUCAGGGGUGAAAUCCUGGAGCUCAACUCCAGAACUGCCUUUGAUACUGGCGAUCUUGAGUCCGGGAGAGGUGAGUGGAACUGCGAGUGUAGAGGUGAAAUUCGUAGAUAUUCGCAAGAACACCAGUGGCGAAGGCGGCUCACUGGCCCGGUACUGACGCUGAGGUGCGAAAGCGUGGGGAGCAAACAGG
rnacentral:rRNA from 1 species